AGGGGGAGUGCCGGAUCUUGGGCUGUGGUCCCCGGCGGUCUGUGCUCCAGGGCCUGUGCUGUUGGAAUUGCGCCCCAGGCUGCGCAGCUCCCU
rnacentral:pre_miRNA from 1 species